UACGUAGGGUGCAAGCGUUGUCCGGAAUUAUUGGGCGUAAAGAGCUCGUAGGCGGUCUGUCGCGUCGGCUGUGAAAACUCGGGGCUCAACCCCGAGCCUGCAGUCGAUACGGGCAGACUAGAGUACUGCAGGGGAGACUGGAAUUCCUGGUGUAGCGGUGGAAUGCGCAGAUAUCAGGAGGAACACCGGUGGCGAAGGCGGGUCUCUGGGCAGUAACUGACGCUGAGGAGCGAAAGCGUGGGGAGCGAACAGG
rnacentral:rRNA from 1 species